AUUUUCUAGAUAUUGAACUUGAUCGGAUUGAGGGUCUCCUAAAAAUCAAAGAGCAAGAGAGUAGUGGUUGGCAACCACUCUGACGCUCAAGUCAGUAAUCGAAUUAUGAAUCGAGUAUUCAGUAUAAUGGAAGUGAGUAUUUUUGUUUAUAUAUCUGUUUCUGAUGCUUUACCUUGUUUAUAUAGUGAUUGGAAUGAAAUCUUGGCCAAAUCUUCGUCAAUUUCCUAUUUAAGUUGUACCGGUAAUCAUUUUUA
rnacentral:misc_RNA from 1 species